rnacentral:piRNA from 1 species
AUGCUUCAGAGGGCCUAUAGACA